UACGUAGGGUGCGAGCGUUAAUCGGAAUUACUGGGCGUAAAGCGUGCGCAGGCGGUGAGCUGUGUCCGAUGUGAAAGCCCCGGGCUUAACCUGGGAAUGGCAUUGGAAACUGGCUCGCUGGAGUGUGGCAGAGGGGGGUGGAAUUCCUGGUGUAGCGGUGAAAUGCGCAGAUAUCAGGAAGAACACCAAUGGCGAAGGCAGCUCUCUGGGACGGUACUGACGCUGAGACGCGAAAGCGUGGGGAGCGAACAGG
rnacentral:rRNA from 1 species